rnacentral:rRNA from 1 species
AUUGAACGCUGGCGGCAUGCCUUACACAUGCAAGUCGAACGGCAGCAUGAUCUAGCUUGCUAGAUUGAUGGCGAGUGGCGAACGGGUGAGUAAUACAUCGGAACGUGCCCUGUAGUGGGGGAUAACUAGUCGAAAGAUUAGCUAAUACCGCAUACGACCUGAGGGUGAAAGUGGGGGACCGCAAGGCCUCAUGCUAUAGGAGCGGCCGAUGUCUGAUUAGCUAGUUGGUGAGGUAAAGGCUCACCAAGGCGACGAUCAGUGGCUGGUCUGAGAGGACGAUCAGCCACACUGGGACUGAGACACGGCCCAGACUCCUACGGGAGGCAGCAGUGGGGAAUUUUGGACAAUGGGCGAAAGCCUGAUCCAGCAAUGCCGCGUGUGUGAAGAAGGCCUUCGGGUUGUAAAGCACUUUUGUCCGGAAAGAAAUGGCUCUGGUUAAUACCUGGGGUCGAUGACGGUACCGGAAGAAUAAGGACCGGCUAACUACGUG